UGGUGGAGUCUGGGAUGCAGAGCGGGUGAGAACUGGAGUUUCUGGUAAUGGCUGGGUGCUUGCACUGGAAGAAGGUGGAGUUUUACCUACAACAUCUUGUUUAGGAGGAGGUUCUUUUGAUUCUUUCUUGUUUUUCCGUCCUUCACGCCCACAAUGAUCAUCUCCCAGAUCGAUGACAAGUUCACUCUCAGAAUCAGAGUCCAGUCCUAGAUGCACUGUUGGAGAGUCCGUUUCAUCUUUACCUUUCAGUUUUUCUUUUGCAGGAUGUUGCAAACCUUUUCCCUUUUCAGAAAAUUCUUUUUCAGUGUCUGUAAUUGCCUUUUCUUUGACUGGGUCGUCCGUUUUCUCCACUUCUGGACUUGUGCUUUUAAGUUCCUCCUUAUCUUCAUUCUGUGCUGGAGGCUUAGGUUUUUUUUUCAAGCUUAACGAUUCUUUGUCACUUCUUGUACCUUCCUUAUCCUCUCCAUCUUCUUGAUCAUUCUUCGAUUUCUGAUCCUCAUCGCUAUAUUCACUGUCACUGGUGUCAGAUUUUUCAGAAUCUUCAGAGUCACUGUGUUCUACUGCAGUAUAAACAGCUUCAGAUAUUUCAUUUAUUCCAAGUUGUGCUUUACAACUCUCUAUUGUCUUGUCAAGAUUAAGCUGGAACCUACUACGUAUCUGUCGUUUUGGUGAAAUGAGUGGCACAGGAGUGGACUGCUGUUGGACUGACUCACUCAGCUCUUUCAGAUCCAUCUCAGCUUUGCUUCGAUCUAGAAAAAGGAAUUGAGAAAAAUAUUUUACCAAGUGAAGAAAGGCCACUGUCCACAUGAGACAAACCUUACCGAGUAACAGUGCAGACAAUCUGAAAUGUGAAAAACAGAGGCAAG
rnacentral:lncRNA from 1 species